rnacentral:rRNA from 1 species
CCACACCUAAAAACUUUCCACGUGAACCGUUAUAACUAUGUUCUGUGCUUCGUCGCAAGACUUGAGGCUGAACGAAGGUGAGUCUGCGUCUAUUUUGGAUGCGGAUUUGCUGAUGUUAUUUUAAACACCUAUUACUUAAUACUGAACUAUACUCCGAAUACGAAAGUUUUUGGUUUUAACAAUUAACAACUUUCAGCAGUGGAUGUCUAGGCUCGCACAUCGAUGAAGAACGCUGCGAACUGCGAUACGUAAUGCGAAUUGCAGAAUUCAGUGAGUCAUCGAAAUUUUGAACGCAUAUUGCACUUUCGGGUUAUGCCUGGAAGUAUGCCUGUAUCAGUGUCCGUACAUCAAACUUGCCUUUCUUUUUUUGUGUAGUCAAAAUUAGAGAUGGCAGAAUGUGAGGUGUCUCGCGCUGUCUUUUUAAAGAUGGUUCGAGUCCCUUUAAAUGUACGUUGAUUCUUUCUUGUGUCUGCGAAUUGCGAUGCUAUGCUCUUUGUGAUCGGUUUAGAUUGCUUUGCGCUGGUGGGCGACUUCGGUUAGGACAUAUGGAAGCAACCUCAAUUGGCGGUAUGUUCGGCUUUGCCUGACGUUAAGCUAAGCGAGUGUGGUUUUCUGUCUUUUCCUUGAGGUGUACCUGUCGUGUGUGAGGUUGAUUUAGGCUAUAUGGUUGCUUGGUUGUGUGGUUUAGCGUUUUCAGACGCCUGCUUCGGUAGGUAAAGGAGACAACACCAAUUUGGGACUGAGAGUUUACUCUCUUUUUCACUUUGGACCUGAUAUCAGGUAAGACUACCCGCUGAACUUAAG